rnacentral:rRNA from 1 species
AUAGCGUAUAUUAAAGUUGUUGCAGUUAAAAAGCUCGUAGUUGGAUUUCUGGGAGGGUGCCGAUGUCCGCCGUUGGCGUGUGCAGAGGCGCCCUGCCAUCCUUCUGUUAACCUUUCUCGGUAUUCACUUACUGGUUGGGGGCUCAGAUAUUUUACCUUGAGAAAAUUAGAGUGUUUCAGGCAGGCUCGCGCCGGAAUACAUUAGCAUGGAAUAAUAGAAUAGGACUUUAGUCUCCUUUGUUGGUUUGAGGGACUGAAGUAAUGAUUAAUAGGGAUAGUCGGGGGCAUUAGUAUUUAAUUGUCAGAGGUGAAAUUCUCGGAUUUGUUAAAGACUAACUUAUG